rnacentral:rRNA from 1 species
GCGCUGUCUAGUCUGUACUGACGCUGAGCUCGAGAGCAUGGGUAGCGAACAGGAUUAGAUACCUGGUAGUCCAUGCCGUAAACGAUGAGUGCUAAGUGUUGGAGGGUUUCCCCCUUCAGUGCUGCAGCUAACGCAUUAAGCACUCCGCUGGGGAGUACGACCGCAAGGUUGAAACUCAAAGGAAUUGACGGGGGCCCGCACAAGCGGUGGAGCAUGUGGUUUAAUUCGAAGCUACGCGAAGAACCUUACCAGGUCUUGACAUCUUCUGCCAAUCUUAGAGAUAAGACGUUCCCUUCGGGGACAGGAUGACAGGUGGUGCAUGGUUGUCGUCAGCUCGUGUCGUGAGAUGUUGGGUUAAGUCCCGCAACGAGCGCAACCCUUAUUAUCAGUUGCCAGCAUUAAGUUGGGCACUCUGGUGAGACUGCCGGUGACAAACCGGAGGAAGGUGGGGAUGACGUCAAAUCAUCAUGCCCCUUAUGACCUGGGCUACACACGUGCUACAAUGGAUGGUACAACGAGUUGCGAACUCGCGAGAGUAAGCUAAUCUCUUAAAGCCAUUCUCAGUUCGGAUUGUAGGCUGCAACUCGCCUACAUGAAGUCGGAAUCGCUAGUAAUCGCGGAUCAGCAUGCCGCGGUGAAUACGUUCCCGGGCCUUGUACACACCGCCCGUCACACCAUGAGAGUUUGUAACACCCAAAGUCGGUGGGGUAACCUUUAGGAACCAGCCGCCUAAGGUGGGACAGAUGAUUAGGGUGAAGUCGUAACAAGGUAACCA